CUUAACUGUUCAGAAGGCAACCCAGCUAAGAGCUCCCAUUUGAUAAAGCAUCAGGAAAUGUAUCCCACCCGAGGAGUAAUGCAGUUGGUUGCUGUAAUUCCAUUAUUACGGUUUUUCAUCAUGAACAUUUCAGUGUGCUUCUUAGAAAAGAGCAUGCAAGAUCCCCUCAGCGCACAGGCAUCCUUGAGCCAAUGCUGGAUUUUGUCCAUGAGAGCAGAGGGACUUCCACCAACGUUCUGCUCCCUCCUUAUCUUCAAGACUCAUCCUGCUUCAGUACUUCUUAUGCUGCUAGUUCUCCUAAACAACUUUUCAUGCUUCACUGGCGAGUUGGAUCACUUCAGUUGCUGUGACACACCUGAAUGCAGUCACUCACCACGGGAUUAU